CUGGAGGGUGCUGGGGAAGUUCAGGCUGUCCCCAGAAGGCAACUUAUACGACCUUCAUGCUGGACUACACAGGUCAUCUCCCGGAGCAGCAGGCGGUGGCUGGGACGGCAGCACAGAGAAAGCCCGGCACAGGCUCCGCUCAGAGCCUCAGGAUGUGGGGAGGCUUCUACAGAUGACCAGCUUGGUGGCGUCAUCAUCCCCACCUGGAGGAAGGAGACCUUAUCUGGAACCAAGAGGCAUGUCUGUAAGAAACUCUUAUGAAGUUGUCGGGGUUCAAGUUGGCCUUCCUGUUGUUCAACCUGGUGGAGAAUGUUCCUGUGGGCCUUGGCAGCAAGUCAGCAUUCUUCGUUGGCAUGGAGUCCUAGGAAAAAGAGGCUCUCCACCCUGAAGCCAGUCGCAUAUCACCCCAAUAAACAGUUACAACGCCUCUGCCAACACAGGAUCCCAAAU
rnacentral:lncRNA from 1 species